UACGUAGGGGCCUAGCGUUGUCCGGAUUUAUUGGGCGUAAAGAGCUCGUAGGCGGUUCGGCAAGUCGGAUGUGAAAUCUCCACGCUUAACGUGGAGGGGCCAUUCGAAACUGCCGUGACUCGAGUCCGGUAGGGGAGCGUGGAAUUCCUGGUGUAGCGGUGAAAUGCGCAGAUAUCAGGAGGAACACCAGUAGCGAAGGCGGCACUCUGGGCCGGUACUGACGCUGAGGAGCGAAAGCGUGGGGAGCGAACAGG
rnacentral:rRNA from 1 species